rnacentral:rRNA from 1 species
GGGCCCGCACAAGCGGUGGAGCAUGUGGUUUAAUUCGAUGAUACGCGAGGAACCUUACCAGGGCUUAAAUGUUAGGUGACAGAUCUAGAAAUAGAUUUUUCUUCGGACACUUAACAAGGUGCUGCAUGGUUGUCGUCAGCUCGUGCCGUGAGGUGUCAGGUUAAGUCCUAUAACGAGCGCAACCCCUGUUGUUAGUUGCCAGCGAGUAAUGUCGGGAACUCUAGCAAGACUGCCAGUGCAAACUGUGAGGAAGGUGGGGAUGACGUCAAAUCAUCACGGCCCUUACGUCCUGGGCUACACACGUGCUACAAUGGUAGGUACAGAGAGCAGCCAAUGCGCGAGCAUGAGCAAAUCUAUAAAAACCGAUCUCAGUUCGGAUCGCAGUCUGCAACUCGACUGCGUG